rnacentral:ncRNA from 2 species
GCAAGAAUGUGGGGGGGCUGGUGUUGCCAGCUGAGAAUGUAUCCGAUAGAUGCUGACCCUUAGAACCUGAUCUGGUUAACACCAGCGGAGGGAACAUCAGCUAAAAUCUC